UGCAAGUCGAGCGGGCGAGGUUGCUUCGGUAACUGAGCUAGCGGCGGACGGGUGAGUAAAGCUUAGGAAUCUGCCUAUUAGUGGGGGACAACAUUCCGAAAGGGAUGCUAAUACCGCAUACGUCCUACGGGAGAAAGCAGGGGAUCACUUGUGACCUUGCGCUAAUAGAUGAGCCUAAGUCGGAUUAGCUAGUUGGUGGGGUAAAGGCCUACCAAGGCGACGAUCUGUAGCGGGUCUGAGAGGAUGAUCCGCCACACUGGGACUGAGACACGGCCCAGACUCCUACGGGAGGCAGCAGUGGGGAAUAUUGGACAAUGGGGGGAACCCUGAUCCAGCCAUGCCGCGUGUGUGAAGAAGGCCUUUUGGUUGUAAAGCACUUUAAGCGAGGAGGAGGCUUACCUGGUUAAUACCUGGGAUAAGUGGACGUUACUCGCAGAAUAAGCACCGGCUAACUCUGUGCCAGCAGCCGCGGUAAUACAGAGGGUGCGAGCGUUAAUCGGAUUUACUGGGCGUAAAGCGCGCGUAGGUGGUUAAUUAAGUCAAAUGUGAAAUCCCCGAGCUUAACUUGGGAAUUGCAUUCGAUACUGGUUAGCUAGAGUAUGGGAGAGGAUGGUAGAAUUCCAGGUGUAGCGGUGAAAUGCGUAGAGAUCUGGAGGAAUACCGAUGGCGAAGGCAGCCAUCUGGCCUAAUACUGACACUGAGGUGCGAAAGCAUGGGGAGCAAACAGGAUUAGAUACCCUGGUAGUCCAUGCCGUAAACGAUGUCUACUAGCCGUUGGGGGAUUUGAUCCUUUAGUGGCGCAGCUAACGCGAUAAGUAGACCGCCUGGGGAGUACGGUCGCAAGACUAAAACUCAAAUGAAUUGACGGGGGCCCGCACAAGCGGUGGAGCAUGUGGUUUAAUUCGAUGCAACGCGAAGAACCUUACCUGGCCUUGACAUAGUAGAGACUUUCCAGAGAUGGAUUGGUGCCUUCGGGAAUCUA
rnacentral:rRNA from 1 species